UACGUAGGGACCGAGCGUUGUCCGGAAUCAUUGGGCGUAAAGAGCGUGUAGGCGGCUGACCAAGUCCUGCGUGAAAUCUUGCGGCUCAACCGCAAGCGGUCGUGGGAAACUGGUCGGCUAGAGUGCGGGAGAGGAGAGUGGAAUUCCUGGUGUAGCGGUGAAAUGCGCAGAUAUCAGGAGGAACACCAAUGGCGAAGGCAGCUCGCUGGGACGUGACUGACGCUGAGACGCGAAAGCGUGGGGAGCGAACAGG
rnacentral:rRNA from 1 species